ensembl:lncRNA
GGGGGCUGGGAGGGACUGGGAGGGAAUGGGAGGGAAUGGGAGUCAUACUGGGAUAUACUGGGAGGGACUGGGAGGUACUGGGAGUCAUACUGGGAGGGACUGGGAUAUACUGGGAGGGACUGGGAGGGGCUGGGAGGGCACUGGGAGGGACUGGGAGCCAUACUGGGAUAUACUGGGAGGGACUGGGAGGGACUGGGAGUUAUACUGGGAUAUACUGGGAGGGACUGGGUGUGAUACUGGGAGGGACUGGGAGGGACUGGCAGGGACUGGGAUGGGACUGGGAGGGACUGGGGGGCAUACUGGGAGGGACUGGGUUAUACUGGGAGGGACUGGGAGGGACUGGGAUGGGGCUGGGAGUCAUACUGGGAUAUACUGGGAGGGACUGGGAGGGACUGGGAUGGGGCUGGGAGUCAUACUGGGAUAUACUGGGAGGGACUGGGAUAUACUGGGAUGGACUGGGGGGGGCUGGGAGGGACUGGGAGUGAUACUGGGAG